rnacentral:rRNA from 1 species
GAUGAACGCUGGCGGCAGGCCUAACACAUGCAAGUCGAACGGAUCCUUCGGGAUUAGUGGCGGACGGGUGAGUAACGCGUGGACAAUCUACCCUGUAGACUGGGAUAACACCUCGAAAGGGGUGCUAAUACCGGAUAAUGUCGAGAAGCGGCAUCGCUUUUCGAAGAAAGGAGAGAAUCCGCUAUAGGAGGAGUCCGCGUCCCAUUAGCUAGUUGGUGAGGGUAACGGCCCACCAAGGCGACGAUGGGUAGCCGGCCUGAGAGGGUGAACGGCCACACUGGAACUGAGACACGGUCCAGACUCCUACGGGAGGCAGCAGUGGGGAAUAUUGUGCAAUGGGGGAAACCCUGACACAGCAACGCCGCGUGAGCGAAGAAGGCCUUCGGGUUGUAAAGCUCAAUAGUAUGGGAAGAUAAUGACGGUACCAUACGAAAGCCCCGGCUAACUACGUGCCAGCCGCCGCCGUAAAAC